UACGUAGGGUGCAAGCGUUAAUCGGAAUUACUGGGCGUAAAGCGUGCGCAGGCGGUUAUGUAAGACAGUUGUGAAAUCCCCGGGCUCAACCUGGGAACUGCAUCUGUGACUGCAUAGCUAGAGUACGGUAGAGGGGAUGGAAUUCCGCGUGUAGCAGUGAAAUGCGUAGAUAUGCGGAAGAACACCCGUGGCUAAGGCGGCUCUCUAGUACGGUACUGACGCUGAGACGCGAAAGCGUGGGGAGCGAACAGG
rnacentral:rRNA from 1 species